CAGGAUUCAGGAGUGAAGCUUCUUAAUGCUGCUCUGGAGAGUCCACAUUGUACACUAGAAGUUCUGAGACUGAAUUUCUGUAACCUCUCAGGGAAAAGCUGUGAAGCUCUUUCCUUAGUUCUAAGCUGCCCAACCUCCUGUCUAAGAGAGCUGGACCUGAGUGACAAUGACCUUCAGGAUUCAGGAGCCAAAUUUCUUUCUGCAGAACUACAGAGUCUACAUUGUACUCUGAAAACUCUGAGUCUGUCAGGCUGUCUGAUCACAGAGGAAGGCUGU